rnacentral:lncRNA from 1 species
AACAACAACAACAACUAGCCAGUAUACUCCCACCAGGUGGGGUCUGGGGAGGGUAAUAUGUAGACAAGCCUUACCCCUACCCGAAAGGGCAGAGAGGCUGUUUCCAAUCGACCCUCGGCUCAUAGGAUAAAAGGAAAAACAGCAGUAAAACAAAAACAAAGACAAAAACAAAAACACUAACAAUAGAGCAUAAGUAACUCCAGCAGCAAUAGCGUAAAUAAUUAUCUAAACAUAAGAAA